rnacentral:rRNA from 1 species
AGAGUUUGAUCCUGGCUCAGGACGAACGCUUGCGACGUGCCUAAGAAAUGCAAGUCGAACGGGGGCUUCGGCCCUAGUGGCGAACGGUCACGUAACACGUGGGCAACCUGCCUCGAAGCGGGGGACAACAGAGGGAAACCUCUGCUAAUACCGCAUGUGAAUUGCUCCGGCAUCGGAGAGGAUUCAAAGCCGCAAGGCACUUCGAGAUGGGCCCGCGGCCUAUCAGCUAGUUGGUGGGGUAACGGCCUACCAAGGCGACGACGGGUAGCUGGUCUGAGAGGACGAUCAGCCGGAUUGGGACUGAGAUACGGUCCAGACUCCUACGGGGGGCAGCAAUUAGGAAUCUUGCGCAAUGGGCGAAAGCCUGACGCAGCGACGUCGCGUGAAGGAUGAAAUCUUUCGGGAUGUAAACCUCUUUUGUCAGGGAAGAAACAAAUGACGGUACCUGACGAAUAAGCCCCGGCUAACUACGUGCCAGCAGCCGCGGUAAUACGUAGGGGGCGAGCGUUGUCCGAAGUUACUGGGCGUAAAGAGCGCGUAGGCGGGUCUUUAAGUGAGGGGUGAAAGGUUCAGGGCUCAACCCGGACACUGCCUUUCAUACUGGAGGCCUUGAGUGUGGGAGAGGCGAGUGGAAUGGCUGGUGUAGCGGUGAAAUGCGCAGAUAUCAGUCGGAACACCCAUGGCGAAGGCAGCUCGCUGGCCUAUAACUGACGCUGAGGCGCGAAAGCGUGGGGAGCAAACAGGAUUAGAUACCCUGGUAGUCC